GUAUAAGAGACAGCAGCCGCCGCGGUAAUACGAAGGGUGCAAGCGUUAAUCGGAAUUACUGGGCGUAAAGCGCGCGUAGGUGGUUCAGUAAGUUGGAAGUGAAAUCCCCGGGCUCAACCUGGGAACUGCUUUCAAAACUGCUGAGCUAGAGUACGGUAGAGGGUGGUGGAAUUUCCUGUGUAGCGGUGAAAUGCGUAGAUAUAGGAAGGAACACCAGUGGCGAAGGCGACCACCUGGACUGAUACUGACACUGAGGUGCGAAAGCGUGGGGAGCAAACAGGAUUAGAUACCCCGGUAGUCCCUGUCUCUUAUAC
rnacentral:rRNA from 1 species